rnacentral:lncRNA from 1 species
UGACUGAAAAAUAAAAAUGGGGUUGCCACAGGUGUCUUCAGGCUGCACUGCUGAGGAAGUGGCCUUAUCCCUAGGCACAUUUGUGCAAACUGUGCCUAGAGUAACCAGCAUGAGCAACUAUGGGGUGAACUUGUUGACUGGAGAAGACCUGGGUAAUUGCAUGCACAUUGAUGUGCUUAAAUCUGAAAGAAAAAAUGACUCAGAGCUUUCAAAAGAAUCACACAUUUCAAGUAUGUGUAAAGAUGCUAAGUUGAAGAUUAAUCCCAUAGAACAAAUUGGCAGGUUAUCUGUUGAUGUAAGGGAAACUAUGCAGAAACCUAUACCUAGGACUGUAGGUUUUCAAAUAAGAGCAUCAACACCUGGUGUUAAUGGUUAUGAUGGAAAUGGAUAUUCGUCAACUGUGUUUAAUGUCACCAGUGAUGCAACUGAAGCUUCUGAGUCACAAGUCAGAAAGCGGUUAUUGCAUGAGCAACUAUGGGGUGAACUUGUUGACUGGAGAAGACCUGGGUAAUUGCAUGCACAUUGAUGUGCUUAAAUCUGAAAGAAAAAAUGACUCAGAGCUUUCAAAAGAAUCACACAUUUCAAGUAUGUGUAAAGAUGCUAAGUUGAAGAUUAAUCCCAUAGAACAAAUUGGCAGGUUAUCUGUUAAUGUA